UAAUAAGAAGCAAUAAUUUCUGCGUUUAGUUUCGACCUAAAAAAUUUGAUAAUAUCCGUAUCCUUAUUUU
rnacentral:tRNA from 1 species